AGAGAAGAGGCUGUGCUUCGGCGCUCCGGCUCCUCAGAGAGCCUCGGCUAGCUGGGAUUCUGUCCCUGACCGUCUUCACAGUCCAGGUGAUCUUGACUACUGCUUUACAGAGAAUUGGAUCUGAGGUGUGGAAACAGGAAGAGAACUAGAACUGGAAGUAAAGCAUUGAAGAUGUGACUGAAUUGCUGCAAUCUCAUGAUCAAAUUUGAAUGGAUGAGGAGUUGCUUUUUAGGGAUGAGCAAAGAAAGUGGUUUCUCGAGAUGGAAUCUACUGGUUGCUCCUUGAGGGCAGGACAGUUCUUAUGGCUUUAUCCGUUGCGUAAGCACAGAGAGGUCUGCGAGGUCAAAACUAUUGUCAUGAUAGCAAGAUGCCUGUCUUUUUCAUUUAUUCUCACGGUGUGCAGAGGCUACAUGAUGUGUGAUGACAUCCUCAUUGAUGUUAAUGAAUGGUGCUAUACUUGAAUUUUCUAAGGUGUCAUUAGGUAGGUUUAGGUAUGCAUACUUGUUUUUAGAAAUUAUUUUUUUCCUUUUUCCCAUUUUUAGAAAUCAACUCAUUUUUUAGGUUAUGCCUUCAGUAAUCUUUGCAACCUCAAUAUUGUGUAAUGGUUACUUUAAAAUACUGUAGUUUUCUUUGUGCCUAAGUAUAAACAUAAGUACAUUUUGUUGUUUUGUUUGCAAUAGUGGUUUAAAUAUUUUCCCAAAAUAUCCAAAUUUAAAAAUUCUACAACUUUAGAAUUUAAUAAAUUUAUUCUAAAAUAUUUAUAUAUUUUUUCAUUUAAGAAUGGAUCGGCUUAAAAAGACUGCUUCUCAUUUACUUACUGGCUAUACCAUCUGUAUACUAAUAAAAAACAAGAUUUGAUUUGGAAGGACUGACUCAAACUAACGAAAAUAUGAAACCUGUCUUUCUGCUUUGGAGAUAUUUACCUAAUCAUGUUCUGCAGUAGAAUAAUUUAGUUCUUUUGUCUUUUUUUGGAGAUGAGGUCUUGCUGUGUUGCCCAGGCUAUUCACAGCUGCCAUCAUAGUGAACUACAGCCUGAAACUCCUGGGUUCAAGAGAUCCUUCUGCCUCAGCCUCCUGAGUAGCUGGAACUAUAGGCAUGCGCCACCAAGCCUGGGCUUUUAAAAAAAUUUUAAAAAGAAUUUUGAGACAGGAUCUUGCCAUGUUGCUCAGGCUAGUCUUCAACUCCUAGCCCUGAGUGAUCUUGCUUUGGGCCUCUCAAAAUGUUGAGUUAAUAGGCGUGAGCCACCAUACCCAGCCAAAAAUUUUUUUAGAGAUGGGAAUGGAAUGAUCUUGAAUAGUGUUGGUGCCACCUAUGUUGUGGCAUCAUUUUGAAACCAAUCAUUCAGAGUGCUUUUUUUGGUAAGGCAUUAUUUUUUAAUGCAGGUAUGCCACUACUGGGAAAAAAAAAAAAACAGGUUUUAAAGCUAGAAAUGAAAAGCUACUUAAGUAUCUUAAAGGAUAAGUUACUUUAUUAUACACUAGAAACAUACACAAUAGCUGAAAAACUUAAAAAAUCUCACACUGCUGAAUGUCUCUGCUGGCUGAAGUGUAAGUAAAAGAUCAUAGUAGUGCCGCUGUUGAGUGAUAAAGCAACUUGUCAUUAAAGAUGUGUGUGCAGACAUGGAUUCUGAGUUAAUAUCUCAUCUGUAGAAGUAUAUAUUUGUCCCUUGCUUUGGGAUUGGUUUCUGGACAGCACUCCCCCACCCUUGCUGGCCAUUUGCCAAGGACACCAAAACCCAAGGAUGUUGAAUUCCCUUUUAUAAAAUGGCGCUGUAUCUGCAUACAACUUACACACAUCCUCCCAUAUACUUUAAAUCAUUUCCAGAUUUCUUAUACUUCAUACAAUGUGAAUGCUAUAUAAAUAGUUGUUACAUUGUGUACUUAUAUUUGUACUAUUG
ensembl:lncRNA THUMPD3-AS1 THUMPD3 antisense RNA 1